UACAGAGGGGGCAAGCGUUAUUCGGAAUUAUUGGGCGUAAAGGGCGCGUAGGCGGCCUGGCAAGUGGAAGGUGAAAUCCCUCGGCUUAACCGAGGAACUGCCCUCCAAACUGCUUGGCUUGAGUCCGGGAGAGGUGAGUGGAAUUCCCAGUGUAGCGGUGAAAUGCGUAGAGAUGUGGAGGAACACCAGUGGCGAAGGCGACUUUCUGGUCUGUAACUGACACUGAGGCGCGAAAGCGUGGGGAGCGAACAGG
rnacentral:rRNA from 1 species